AGAACUUACCCACUGGUUCUGGUGGGGACACAACCAGGCUGGCGGAGCGGCUUGUGGCUCACAUUCUUUAUUCGGUGUGUGAGUUCCCCAGUGCCACUCGUAAGCAUAUUGACCAGACCAGUUAUUUUCUACAGAGACAAGCAAACGUUUAGAAACAUCCCUGACAUACACGCUACAAAAUGACAAGUCGGUCACACGCUCACCUAUGAUCCAGGUGCUGUGCUGAGAGUGCAAAUGCUGCAUGUCAUUGGUCAGAGGUGAGGCUUGUGUGUGUGCAGGCUGGACCUCCAGUGAAUGCUCCUGCAGGUAUUCCUCAAUGACUUCCAGGUCCACCUCAGGGCAGGAGGAGGGCGCCACCACACCCCAGGAUCCUCGUCCCCCGCAAAGCCUGACCUCAGUCACAGGCAAAAACUCAUAUAAGGGAUGAGUUCGGAGAAGCCGUGGAGAACGACUUCCGGACAGCUUCAAAGCGAUUCUUGUCCAACAUCCACUACCUUAGAAGGGUGAAAAACUACACUGUCAAUACCGUGUAGAGUAGGGACAGUGUGCUGCUGACGUCGAUCGAGGAUUUUGUCGAUCGAUGGAAGGAAUACUUUGAAAACUUCCUCAAUCACACCUACACGUCUUCCAACGAGGAAGCAGAGCUGUUGACUUCAUUGACUUCAUCAUGAAUGUGAGCUGUUUGGC